rnacentral:rRNA from 1 species
UACGGGGGGAGCAAGCGUUGUUCGGAAUCACUGGGCGUAAAGGGAGUCUAGGCGGUUUGGUAAGUGGGAUGUGAAAUCCCCGGGCUCACCCCGGGACCUGCAUCCCAAACUGCUGAGCUUGAGUACAGGAGAGGGUGGGGGAAUUCCAGGUGUAGCGGUGAAAUGCGUAGAUAUCUGGAGGAACACCGGUGGCGAAGGCGCCCACCUGGCCUGCUACUGACGCUGAGGUGCGAAAGCGUGGGGAGCAAACAGG